rnacentral:rRNA from 1 species
CUACGUAGGUGGCGAGCGUUGUCCGGAAUUACUGGGCGUAAAGGGUGCGUAGGCGGAUAAUCAAGUCAGAUGUGAAAGUCCAUGGCUUAACUGUGGGAGUGCAUUUGAGACUGAAGAUCUAGAGUGCAGGAGAGGGAAGCGGAAUUCCUAGUGUAGCGGUGAAAUGCGUAGAUAUUAGGAAGAACACCAGUGGCGAAGGCGGCUUUCUGGACUGUAACUGACGCUGAAGCACGAAAGCGUGGGGAGCAAACAGGAUUAGAUACCCUGGUAGUCCACGCCGUAAAUGAUGAGUAUUAGGUGUAGGGGACGAUAGUCUUCUGUGCCGGAGCAAACGCAAUAAAUACUCCGCCUGGGGAGUACGGUCACAAGACUAAA